AUUUAGAGUAUGCUGCAAGGAAUCUGCUGAAACUAUAUCAAUGGAAGGAGAUGUAGAUAGCUGUACUAGUGCAGUGAUGUGUUCAAUUAUUAAUGCUGCAUCAACUUGUAUACCAAAAAGCAUAGUGAGUGGAAAAAGAAAAAUGGUUCCAUGGUGGAAUAGUGAAUGUAAAAAUGCAAUAAAAGAAAGAAAUCGUGCAUUUAGAGUCCUAAGGAAGCAUUUGAGUCAAGACAAUUUGAUUGAUUACCAAAGAAAGAAAGCUAAGGCACGGAAAAUAAUUAAGUCAUCAAAGAAGAAUGCAUGGAGACAGUUCUGUUCAGCUAUUGGUAGAGAGAUAGAUCUGAAUGAUGUAUGGUCAAUGAUUAAAAAGAUGACUGGCAAAAGGAAAUCUGUUAAAAUCCCUGUGUUGGUAGAUGGAGAAUACUUGGCAAUAACAAACAAGGAGAAAGCUGACUUAUUAGGUAAGAAGUUUGCAAGUAUUCAUAGUGGAAGUCACCUAGAUGAAGUGCAUAAGCAACGGAAAGAGGAUAUUAUUAGGAAAUGGUAUGAUGUAUUAAGGAAAAAGGACACUGACGAAUCAACACUAGACAUGGAAUUCACAAAGCAUGAGUUGAAAAUGGUCUUAGAGAAAAGUGGUUAUACGGCUCCAGGGCAAGACCAACUGUACUAUGCUAUGUUUAGACAAUUACCAGACGAAUUUAUGGAAAUUAUACGAAUGCUGUUUAAUAAGAUAUGGAGAGAAGGCAAAUUGCCUCAUAACUGGAAAAGUGCUCUGAUAUUGCCUUUUAGUAAGCCUGAUAAAACCCCAGACAAUGCAGGGAAUUACAGGCCUAUAGCGUUAACAUCUCACCUGUGUAAAUGGAUGGAAAAGGUAAUAGUUCGUAGACUGUCAUAUCAUUUAGAACAGAAAGGACUGAUGUGUGCACAACAAAGUGUUUUUUCGUAAAGGUAGAUCUACAAUAGAUGCCCUAGUGAAAGUUAGUAAUGAAGCUGAAAAAGCAAUUAGUAUGAAAGAGGUCAUGAUUAUAGUAUACUUUGAUAUAGAGAAAGCAUAUGACUCAAUGUGGAGAGAAGGACUACUGAUUAAAUUACAUAAUAUGGGUAUUGGUGGAAGGAUGUAUAACUGGAUUUUAGACUUCUUAUCAAAUCGGACAUUUCGUGUUAAAGUUGGAGAUGAUGUUUCAAAUGAUUUUAAUAUAGUAAAUGGUAUUCCGCAAGGUAGUGCUAUUAGCCCAAUUCUGUUUAACAUCUUUGAGAAUGUUGGUACAGGUAUUGGGUAUUCAUUAUAUGCAGAUGAUGGGGCUAUAUGGAAAAGAGGGAAACGUAUUAGACAUAUGAU
rnacentral:lncRNA from 1 species